rnacentral:lncRNA from 1 species
UUUAUUAUUUAAAUCAUACUUUUAUUUUGAAACCAUCUAUGCCUUUAUUUCCUUUUUUAUUUUUUUUCUAAACCUAACACUUUCAGACUCCUCUAUCUCUUCUCCUUCUUUUCAGCCGACAAGGCCAUUUCAUGCUCACCUACACGCUGCCAUGGCCGGUGACCGGCGUUGCGGAGGACGAGCUUUUGAGCUCUAUCUUCAAAGCCUCUUUUGAAGACUAAACCUUCAGCCACCCAAGAACGAAGGAAAAAUGGAGUUCUUUGUCCCUUUGUCGAACUCGAUUACUACGACGGAGAAAUCACUCCGAUGGCGAGCUCGAAGGGAUUCAGGUGAGCCAUUCCUUCCUUUUAGUUUUUUCUUAAAUAGAUUUGAGAAGAGAAAAAAAAGAAAAUACAAAAGAAAAAAAAAUAAAAAAUCAAAAGAACCAAGAACACCUUUUAGUUUCCAAACUUUUUUGAUUUGCUUGUAUGCGUUUUGAUUCCUAACAUCUGUGUUACAUUCCUUCUUUUUGUAAGAAAAAAAUCUUUUUUACAAUCCGUCCCCCCCGUUUCGUUUUGACUUCUUCUUGGCUUUAUAGUCGAUUACAAUAGUAGAAAAAUAUUGUUUUUCUUUGUCUCUACCACUGUUCGUGUCUUGUUUCGGUUUUCUGCUCCUUGUUUGUCUUUUCUUUUGCAGGUGUGGUCAGAGGCGUGGAGGGCAGAAGGUAUGGACGAUGGUAUGGGACACCUGUUUCGGGUGUUGUGCACCCUGAGGCCAACACAUGGAGGCAGCGGCGCAAGGCUGGUGGAGCUAGGGUUUGAAUUGUUGAAAAGUUUUAAGAUAGUUGGGCUAGGAUUUUAACUUGGGCUUGGGUAUUGGGUUAAUAGGCUGAUCUGGUUUGUAUUUUGAUUUGUAAAAGGACUGUAUAAAUGGACAUUUUGAUUUUUUUCAAAA